GUGACCUGCGGAAGGAUCAUUAUAGAUUCUUUUGGCUGUGCGCCGCGAGGCCGCACGCCGAAAUCCAAUCACACACACCCGUGCACUUCGGUCGUGGUAAAACGCGGCCGCCUUCACAUUUAACAAGUAAAACCCGAAUGUAACCAACCAUAAAAUAAUACAACUUUUAACAACGGAUCUCUUGGCUCCCCGCAUCGAUGAAGAACGCAGCGAAAUGCGAUACGUAAUGUGAAUUGCAGAAUUCAGUGAAUCAUCGAAUCUUUGAACGCACCUUGCGCCCCAUGGUAUUCCGUGGGGCAUGCCUGUUUGAGUGUCACGUAAACCCUCAUCCGUGCGAUCUUACCGUCGCACGAAUGGACUUGAGUGUUGCCGUAAUCGGCUCGCUCUGAAAUGCAUUAGCUUUGCGUCUAUUAGCGCGCUCGGCGUGGUGUGAUAAUUAUCUUCACCUAGCCUUAGGCCGCUUCCAAUGUCGCUGCUUUCCAAUGGUCUUCACGGACAAAUCCAAUUGAAGCUUUGGGCUUCAAUCAGUAGGACUACCCGCUGAACUUAAGCAUAUCAAUAAGCGGAGGAAAAGAAACUAACAAGAUUCCUCUAGUAACGGCGAGUGAAGAGGGAAGAGCUCAAUUUAAAUCUGG
rnacentral:rRNA from 1 species